rnacentral:tRNA from 1 species
GGUCUCGUAGCUCAGCUGGUAGAGNAGCAUGCGCGUACAAAGCGUAGGCGGUGUCCAUGCGUGGGUUCGAAUCCCACCGAGGCUA